rnacentral:rRNA from 1 species
CCUACGGGGGGCAGCAGUGGGGAAUAUUGGGCAAUGGGCGCAAGCCUGACCCAGCAACGCCGCGUGAAGGAAGAAGGCUUUCGGGUUGUAAACUUCUUUUCUCAGGGACGAAGAAAGUGACGGUACCUGAGGAAUAAGCCACGGCUAACUACGUGCCAGCAGCCGCGGUAAUACGUAGGUGGCAAGCGUUAUCCGGAUUUACUGGGUGUAAAGGGCGUGUAGGCGGGAAAGCAAGUCAGAUGUGAAAACCAUGGGCUCAACCUGUGGCCUGCAUUUGAAACUGUUUUUCUUGAGUGCUGGAGAGGCAGGCGGAAGUCCUGGUGUAGCGGUGAAAUGCGUAGAUAUGAGGAGGAACACCAGUGGCGAAGGCGGUCUGCUGGACAGCAACUGACGCUGAGGCGCGAAAGCGUGGGGAGCAAACAGGAUUAGAUACCCGAGUAGUC